GACGAACGCUGGCGGCGUGCUUAACGCAUGCAAGUCGAACGGAAAGGCCCUGCUUUUGUGGGGUGCUCGAGUGGCGAACGGGUGAGUAACACGUGAGUAACCUGCCCUUGACUUUGGGAUAACUUCAGGAAACUGGGGCUAAUAACGGAUAGGAGCUCCUGCUGCAUGGUGGGGGUUGGAAAGUUUCGGCGGUUGGGGAUGGACUCGCGGCUUAUCAGCUUGUUGGUGGGGUAGUGGCUUACCAAGGCUUUGACGGGUAGCCGGCCUGAGAGGGUGACCGGCCACAUUGGGACUGAGAUACGGCCCAGACUCCUACGGGAGGCAGCAGUGGGGAAUAUUGCACAAUGGGCGGAAGCCUGAUGCAGCAACGCCGCGUGCGGGAUGACGGCCUUCGGGUUGUAAACCGCUUUCGCCUGUGACGAAGCGUGAGUGACGGUAAUGGGUAAAGAAGCACCGGCUAACUACGUG
rnacentral:rRNA from 1 species